GGUUAGUAUAUCACGAAACCCAUCACAAGUAAUUUUUCCUCAUAUCAGGACAUAGAUCAUGGAUUAUAUCUUUAGGAUGUGAUACUGGGCUCCCAAAUUAGGUAGCCACAUGUUUUAGAAUGGUUUGAGACUUGAGAGAACCUUAUGUGCAGCAUUUUAAAGAGAUGUCAUAGACUUUAGAACUCCUUGAAGAUUAACAUUCUAAGAGAUUUUAUAAGCUUACUGUUUCAAGGUUAGGUUCUGGCACACUCCAAGGAAUGUUAAGUGACUUUAGCAGCUAUGCCAAAGUGUUGUGCCUCCUUGUAGCUUGAAUAUAUGUCUGUAGUUGUGAGUUGUGACCCACAUUGGAGAUUUAGUUCUUAAAGUUUAUGGGAUGGUUUAGAGGUUCUAAC
rnacentral:misc_RNA from 1 species